rnacentral:rRNA from 1 species
UCCAGACUUUGAUCAUGGCUCAGGACGAACGCUGGCGGCGUGCCUAACACAUGCAAGUCGAACGGAGCUCCGCCCUUCGGGACGGAACUUAGUGGCGAACGGGUGAGUAACGCGUGAAGAACCUGCCUUCCAGUGGGGGACAACAGUUGGAAACGACUGCUAAUACCGCAUGAUACUUUUGAGGGGCAUCCCUUGAAAGUCAAAGCUUUAAGUGCUGGAAGAUGGCUUCGCGUCUGAUUAGCUAGUUGGUGGGGUAACGGCCCACCAAGGCGACGAUCAGUAGCCGGUCUGAGAGGAUGAGCGGCCACAUUGGGACUGAAAUACGGCCCAGACUCCUACGGGAGGCAGCAGUGGGGAAUAUUGGGCAAUGGGCGAAAGCCUGACCCAGCAACGCCGCGUGAAGGAAGAAGGCCUUCGGGUUGUAAACUUCUUUUACCAGGGACGAAGGACGUGACGGUACCUGGAGAAAAAGCAACGGCUAACUACGUGCCAGCAGCCGCGGUAAUACGUAGGUUGCAAGCGUUGUCCGGAUUUACUGGGUGUAAAGGGCGUGUAGGCGGAGGCGCAAGUUGGGAGUGAAAUCUAUGGGCUCAACCCAUAAACUGCUCUCAAAACUGUGUCCCUUGAGUAUCGGAGAGGCAAGCGGAAUUCCUAGUGUAGCGGUGAAAUGCGUAGAUAUUAGGAGGAACACCAGUGGCGAAGGCGGCUUGCUGGACGACAACUGACGCUGAGGCGCGAAAGCGUGGGGAGCAAACAGGAUUAGAUACCCUGGUAGUCCACGCUGUAAACGAUGAAUACUAGGUGUGGGAGGACUGACCCCUUCCGUGCCGCAGUUAACACAAUAAGUAUUCCACCUGGGGAGUACGACCGCAAGGUUGCAACUCAAAGGAAUUGACGGA